CUUCAUCUCUGCUUUCAUCUCUGCUUCACCUUCAUCUCACGAACCCUAACCCUCUUCAUCUCACGAACCCUAACCCUCUUCAUCUCACGAAUCCUAACUCUCUUCAUCUCACGAACCCUAACUCUCUUCAUGUCACGAUUCUCUGUUCGUGUUCCUCAUCUUCUCUAUCGUCUCCUCUGAUUUUGUUUGGACCUAAUAUAUAUUUUGUUUUGCAGUUGAGGUACCAAAGCUUCUGGAGGCUUCCUCUAUUCAUCUGCGUACGAUUAUCUGGGUACGAUUCUCUUCUCUGUUCGUGUUCCUCAUCUUCCCUCGUCUCCUUUGAUUUUUUUGACCUAAUAUAUAUUUUGUUUUGCAUGUGAGGUACCAAAGCUUCUGGAGGCUAAUACGGGGAGGAAUAUUCUUGAAACAGAUCAUCCAGAAGGUCCUUUUGGCACUAAGCUCAAUUCCCUCAAAGGAGACGAAGGAAAGCGACAACUGCAUUUUAUUUGUGUGUGACUCCAUUUCUCUGUUUUAAG